AUUGAACGCUGGCGGCAUGCCUUACACAUGCAAGUCGAACGGUAACAGGUUAAGCUGACGAGUGGCGAACGGGUGAGUAAUGUAUCGGAACGUGCCCAGUCGUGGGGGAUAACUGCUCGAAAGAGCAGCUAAUACCGCAUACGACCUGAGGGUGAAAGCGGGGGAUCGCACGACCUCGCGCGAUUGGAGCGGCCGUUAGCAGAUUAGGUAGUUGGUGAGGUAAAGGCUCACCAAGCCGACGAUCGGUAGCUGGUCUGAGAGGACGACCAGCCACCCUGGGACUGAGACACGGCCCAGACUCCUACGGGAGGCAGCAGCGGGGAAUUUUGGACAAUGGGCGCAAGCCUGAUCCAGCCAUGCCGCGUGCGGGAAGAAGGCCUUCGGGUUGUAAACCGCUUUUGUCAGGGAAGAAAAGGUUCUGGCUAAUACCUGGGACUCAUGACGGUACCUGAAGAAUAAGCACCGGCUAACUACGUGCCAGCCGCCGCCGUAA
rnacentral:rRNA from 1 species